rnacentral:rRNA from 1 species
UACGUAGGGUGCAAGCGUUGUCCGGAAUUAUUGGGCGUAAAGGGCUCGUAGGCGGUCCAUCACGUCGGGAGUGAAAAGCUGGGGCUUAACCCCAGUCCUGCUUCCGAUACGGGUGGACUAGAGGUAGGCAGGGGAGAACGGAAUUCCUGGUGUAGCGGUGAAAUGCGCAGAUAUCAGGAGGAACACCAAUGGCGAAGGCAGCACUCUGGGACGGUACUGACGCUGAGACGCGAAAGCGUGGGGAGCGAACAGG